rnacentral:piRNA from 1 species
UAACGGAGGAACAAUGUUCCCACCCUGGGUGU